UACGAAGGGGGCUAGCGUUGCUCGGAAUCACUGGGCGUAAAGCGCACGUAGGCGGCUUUCUAAGUCAGGGGUGAAAUCCUGGAGCUCAACUCCAGAACUGCCUUUGAUACUGGAGAGCUCGAGUCCGGAAGAGGUGAGUGGAACUGCGAGUGUAGAGGUGAAAUUCGUAGAUAUUCGCAAGAACACCAGUGGCGAAGGCGGCUCACUGGUCCGGUACUGACGCUGAGGUGCGAAAGCGUGGGGAGCAA
rnacentral:rRNA from 1 species